AGGGAGAGAGACUGGGACGAAAGUUUCUUGAAAGCGGCGCAGAAGAUUGAGGCGGCCGUCGCUAGGCAAAUGUCCAGGGCCCUCUCUGGGAUGGUGUAAACUUAUUCAGCUUCAAAUGCAGCCCAAUAUCCUGCCCUAUGUUCCAGAGGACCAUUUUCCACAUGAAAAGUCUUAUGGAUACACAAACUUCACUCAAACCAAUGUCAAGUUUUCAUUGCAAGAAAGUAGCAGCCGUGUUUAAGAGUUCGCUCCAAAUGCUCAUCUUCUUCUUCGGCCCUGGAUGUCAGACAAACAGGACAAACAGGAAACAAAAUUAUUUUUCUACAUGGAGGGCAGAGCAGCACUCCUCCGUCACCCAGUAUUUGGAUCCCCAGCGGGAAUGGGGAGCACCAGGCCAGCAGGAAGCUGUCCUGGCCCUCCUGCGACCUCUGAAUUGAACUUUUCGCACAUUUCUCGGCCCCUCGGCAGGUGGCCCAGCCUCGACCCGACCCCACUGCCCACUCACUGCUUCUCCUGUGCGUCCAGGUCCCUGACGAGCGCAUCGCGCUUGUUCACCAGGGCCACCAAUUCAUCUAGCAGAAGCUGCUCGCGUCGCUUCUGGGCCUCGGUCUUCUGCCAGUCUGCAGAAGAUGGGAGGCUAGUUACCCACCGGCAGGGCCUCCGAACACCCGGCCCCCUACCCUCCCCUUCCCGCCUUUUCCAGUUUCCUUAUAUUUCUCGGCAAACCACAUUAUAGAGCCACUAGCUAGUGUUUUCUGGGAGUUUGGCUGUCGUGGUGAAGGUUUCCUCGCUAAAACUCUACUUUCUAAAUAUUUCCUGCGAAUGGAGACGACUGCGGCAGGGUUGGAACCUGCUCAGAACCAGGUGUGAGCCGGUGGCUAGCCUGAGGUGCGCACCUGAAUCCAGCCAAAGUGGGGGAGGGGAGCUAGAGGCCCAGAAGAGGUUGGCCCAGGGGUUGAUAGUGGGGGAAGUGGGUAAAUGAGGAGGCGGGAAACGGUGCUGGGCGAUAAAAUCAUUCUGAAAAGGCUAGAGAAUCUGCCUGAGAACCUAUCCUCCUCCCCCACCCCCACUCUCACCCCAAACAGCCCAUUCUUCGCUAAUUUCCUCUUCGCUCUAUUUUAGCAGUUGGAUGUAUCUCACACUGGGCGCCAUAUGCUUCACAAUAACUUUAAAAGUAGUGAAUCGGCUAAUUAGCAUUUUUCUUUGAAGUAAAAAAUAAAUUUGCUCUGCAAUAUUACACUGCAGCUCUCGAUCUCAUCACAGCCAGUUUUCUUUUGGAGACGUUUGCUGGGUGGUUUCAAAUCAAAGCACUUUUGCAAAGGAAAAAUUACAUAUUUCUUUUUGAAACCCUAUGUUAAAGGUUGGAAAACCCGAUGGGCAGUGCUCUUUCUAUGGAUGGCGGGUGUUUUUCUGAAGGUUUUAGACCCCAGUGAUGUAUUUCCUAAUCUUCGUUGGUCUGAUGAUUUCCUUAAGAUGAGCAGCAGUUUCAUUUAAUAAAAACAGGACCAAAUCGAACAUUUAAAACACUUUUGAAACCAAAGCCAACUGCUCUCUGGCCAGACUGUAAGGGCUUGUAGCUGUCAAUCAACCCCCAGUCUACCCCGCCUCCCUCAUUAGGAAGGUAAACAAUGAAAAGAAGAAGUAGAUGAUGAGGCAGAUAGCAGAACAAAUGAGGACCUAGAGGGAAACAGGACACCAGCUUAAAAAAAAAAAAAAAAAAAAAAAAGGACCAUGGCCACUGACUCCUGCAGCCCCCUCCCCCAGCAAAUGCACUUUCCAAAACAGAGAAGUGCAAUCCUUUCGGGUUUCUCUCUUCUCUCUCCAUUGCCCUGGGCAAUCAUGUUAAAACUCACAUGGCUGGUGCUUAUUCAGAUAAACCUAACAAUGCACACCGCUGGUUACCAUGUGAAUCUUCACAAACCACACAAGAAUGUGCUGGUUCAAAUCCCCCCGACCCCCUCCAAAGCAAAAUUUAUUCAAGACAGCAAACUGCUCAGCAGCUUUAUGAAAGCAAAUGGUGCUAGAGGGAAUUCUAUCUUGUAUUUACAAAUUAAAAAUUAGAUGCAUCAUCAUGCAAUAAAGGUUAGAAAAGCAGCAAAAAGCUAGAAUGUUUUACUCAAUUUAUCACUAUUUCUUUCAUUAUAAGCUCUAACACAUAAAUCCAUAUUUAUAUGAAACAUGCUAUAUGUUAAUUAUCCACACUUGAUAUAAAAUAUCGCACAAAUACAUUAAAUAACCUAUCACUAUUACGUUCUUAUUUUUUAAAUGAAAUAUUCUAUCGCAUGGAGAUGAAUACAGAAACUAUUUGGAAAAGGUUUCUUUGAAUAGAAGAAUUUUAAAAAUAAUAAACAGCAAAACUGAAGAGCAGCUAUAUAUAUGUAACAAUUUUAUUCUCUGGAUUUAAAUGCAACUGAGGACAGGAAUACUGGAAAAUUUUUUAAUCUGGUUCUCAUUCUUAAAUCAGUCUUAUUCAGCAGGUAAAUUAAUAGGCUCUCCAGGUUGGAAAGAUCUUAAAAAGUCAUCUAGUCUAAUUUCAGGUAAGUAUAAUUCUAGAAAUAUUAAUUCAGAAGAAAUCUAAAUGUGUAAUAGAUUUGAAACUAAUUUUUAUAAUUAAGAUUACUAGUUUAAUGAAUAUUAAUUUUUCCCUUUUCAACCUCAAGAAAUCAUUCUGAUUAUAAGCUUUGAUUUAUAAUUAUUUACUUCCAAAACAUUUUGCUAAGAGCUUUACAAAUGAAUAAUAAAUUUUCAAAAAUAGAAUUAAACUGAAAAUUAUAUUUAAAAAAAUUAAACCAAGAAAAGAUAAAUUUUAACAACACAUAUAAUUUUCUUAAUUAUUCCUUCUCUGAACUUGACUAGUCACUUUUAAGGCUUUAAUUAGUAAUUACAAAUAUCACGAUUUCAUUAAUAUUGAAAAAAUUAGGACUUUAACAAAAUGGAUAAAAGACGACAUUAAAGAAAAUUUUAACCCUUGAAGUACUGAGUAAUUUAAAAUCUUAACUUUUCCCUAGCUCAAUAAUGACAUUUUCUAUAACUGUAGUGAAAUCAUUUAAAAAUUAAGAAUAUUUAGGAAAUUUUCAUCAUUUCAGAGUCAAAUUCAAAUGACAUUAGAAUUUAAAAUAUCCCAGCAAAAAUUUAGAGACUUUAAUAUAUUAAAUCUGUCAUUAUAGUGCUACAUUAAUAUCUGUCUACAAAAUAUUAGUCAACUAUAUGUAAAUAGCAAUGUGCAGUGAAUAGAUUUUACAUUAGCAAAACUGUACUUUUACUUCAUGUCUGUUAUCUCGUAAUGGGAAUAAAUUAUAUAAUAUGCAUGUAUACAAACUCAUACAUGUGUAUACAUAUACAUAUAUAUUUGAAUGCUAAUUUGAGAAAUUAAACUAUUUUUAUUUUUUUAAAUGUAAUAUCAUAUUUAAAACUGAUCAAGAUUCAUAUUUGCAUGUUCAAGCCUAAAUUUUUAAAAAAUCCUGUUUUAAAAAGCUUCACUUAGAAAUGUUAUGUUUUAAAAACUUGCAUGUAAGUUUACGUGUUACCUGUUAUGCAUUUUAAGAACAAAUUACUCACCUAUAAUACUAGUCACAGCUAGCUAGCUGCACUGACUUGGCUUGGACAAACUACAAUCGGGGUUCUGAUUAAUUUAAAGAUUCCAGUGUACUUUUGCUACAAAAGCCAUAUCCUCUCGUAACAAAUAGGAUUAAGUUUUGAUGCUGCAUUUGAGCCAAAGUGUUGAAAUAAAGAGAUUUUGUUUAUGUCCA